GAUGAAGAACGCAGCGAAAUGCGAUACGUAAUGUGAAUUGCAAAUUCAGUGAAUCAUCGAGUCUUUGAACGCACAUCGCGCCCCCUGGUAUUCCGGGGGGCAUGCCUGUCCGAGCGUCAUUGCUGCCCUCAAGCACGGCUUGUGUGUUGGGCCCCGUCCUCCGAUCCCGGGGGACGGGCCCGAAAGGCAGCGGCGGCACCGCGUCCGGUCCUCGAGCGUAUGGGGCUUUGUCACCCGCUCUGUAGGCCCGGCCGGCGCUUGCCGAUCAACCCAAAUUUUUAUCCAGGUUGACCUCGGAUCAGGUAGGGAUACCCGCUGAACUUAAGCAUAUCAAUAAGCGGAGGA
rnacentral:misc_RNA from 1 species